AGUGGGCCUUUUUUAAAUCCGAAAAUCUGACAAACUUUCCAAAACAUGACAAGCGAACAUUGAUGAUGUUUAUACAAUCCGUUGAACCUAUUGAGAAUAGCGACAACGCGUGAAUGAUUAUGUUGUUAUUAUUACAAAGUAUUACAAUAUACAUAGCUACAUGUAUGGCAUUUAAAUAACAAUGUGUUUAAAGUGAAUAUAAAUAAUAAUGUUCAAAAGCAACA
rnacentral:lncRNA from 1 species